GCCCGGUUAGCUCAGUCGGUAGAGCGUGGGACUUUUAAUCCUAAGGUCAAGGGUUCAACCCCCUUAGCGGGCG
rnacentral:tRNA from 1 species